rnacentral:rRNA from 1 species
AUACGUAGGUGACAAGCGUUAUCCGGGUUUACUGGGCGUAAAGGGCGUGUAGGCGGUCUUGCAAGUCAGAAGUGAAAUUCCUGAGCUCAACUCGGGCGCUGCUUCUGAAACUGCAGGACUUGAGUGCUGGAGGGGAUAGCGGAAUUCCUAGUGGAGCGGUAAAAUGCGCAGAUAUUAGGAAGAACACCGGUGGCGAAGGCGGCUAUCUGGACAGUAACUGACGCUGAGGCGCGAAAGCGUGGGGAGCAAACAGGAUUAGAUACCCUGGUAGUCCACGCGGUAAACGAUGAAUGCCAGGUGUUGCGGGUAUCGACCCCUGCAGUGCCGGAGUAAACACAAUAAGCAUUCCGCCUGGGGAGUACGGCCGCAAGGUUGAAACUUAAAGGAAUUGACGGGG